UUUUUGUUUGUGGAAACACCACGUAAAUUUAUUACUGCAGUAAUAAAUAAAUUACUAAUAAUUUAUUACUGCAGCAAUAAAUUUACGUGGUGUUUCCACAAACA